rnacentral:rRNA from 1 species
UACGGAGGAUCCGAGCGUUAUCCGGAUUUAUUGGGUUUAAAGGGUGCGCAGGCGGGAGAUUGAGUCGGCGGUGAAAUUUUGCAGCUCAACUGUAAAAGUGCCUUCGAAACUGGUUUCCUUGAGUGUAGAUGAAGUAGGCGGAAUUUGUGGUGUAGCGGUGAAAUGCAUAGAUAUCACGAGGAACUCCGAUUGCGCAGGCAGCUUACUAAACUACUACUGACGCUCAGGCACGAAGGCGUGGGGAUCAAACAGGAUUAGAUACCCU